rnacentral:lncRNA from 1 species
UUUAAUUUCAUUACAAAGAAAUUAUAAAGAUAAAAAAGAGUGAUGAAUUAUAAAGAAAAAUAAAAUAAAAAAUAGAGAAAUCUCCAAUCCCCAGGAAAAUAUGGAUUCUCUCUUGAAAUUAAAGUUAAAAAUAAUAUUUUAAAAAUACCCACAUGUUAACACAAAUACUACCCCCACCCUCCCACCCCCAUCCCCCUCCGAAAAGGAUGUCUCGAGAACUUGGGAAGGAGAAGGUUCUUGACCACAUGACAGAGAGAUCCCUUGAGCUGGGAUUCUUGCAUUCAUACAGCAGCUCGGCCGAGGAAAACUGUUGUGAUAGGACAUCGGAAAGAUAACAACGAAGAAAAGCAUCAUCGAGGAGGGAAAAAAGAGGAGCUUUCACACUUGAAUUAUUCAAGGAACGCAGGCGUGCGGUGGUGAACACAGACGGAACUCUCGUCAAGGCAUGAGAAAUCGUCCUUACAAUUUCCACUGUUCGGUGUCCCCAUUUUUUUCCAAAGAAAUUGACGAUAGCAAACUUUAUAACCACACAAAAUGACUAUGGUCGUAUUCGAA